rnacentral:rRNA from 1 species
AUUGAACACUGGCGGCAGGCUUAACACAUGCAAGUCGAGCGGGGUGAAGUGCUUCGGUACUGAUCCUAGCGGCGGACGGGUGAGUAAUGCUUAGGAAUCUGCCAUUUAGUGGGGGACAACAUUCCGAAAGGAAUGCUAAUACCGCAUACGUCCUACGGGAGAAAGCAGGGGAUCUUCGGACCUUGCGCUAAAUGAUGAGCCUAAGUCGGAUUAGCUAGUUGGUGGGGUAAAGGCCUACCAAGGCGACGAUCUGUAGCGGGUCUGAGAGGAUGAUCCGCCAAACUGGGACUGGGACACGGCCCAGACUCCUACGGGAGGCAGCAGUGGGGAAUAUUGGACAAUGGGCGGAAGCCUGAUCCAGCCAUGCCGCGUGUGUGAAGAAGGCCUUUUGGUUGUAAAGCACUUUAAGCGAGGAGGAGGCUACCUGGAUUAAUACUCUGGGAUAGUGGACGUUACUCGCAGAAUAAGCACCGGCUAACUCUGUGCCAGCCGCCGCGGUAA